UACGAAGGGGGCUAGCGUUGUUCGGAAUUACUGGGCGUAAAGCGCACGCAGGCGGAUCGAUAAGUCAGGGGUGAAAUCCCGGGGCUCAACCCGGGAACUGCGUCCGAUACUGGCAGGCUUGAAUUCGGGAGAGGGAUGCGGAAUUCCAGGUGUAGCGGUGAAAUGCGUAGAUAUCUGGAGGAACACCGGUGGCGAAGGCGGCAUCCUGGACCAACAUUGACGCUGAUGAGCGAAAGCUAGGGGAGCAAACGGG
rnacentral:rRNA from 1 species